rnacentral:rRNA from 1 species
CCUACGGGAGGCAGCAGUAGGGAAUCUUUCACAAUGGGCGAAAGCCUGAUGGAGCAACGCCGCGUGCAGGAUGAAGGCCUUCGGGUUGUAAACUGCUUUUAUAAGCGAGAAAUAUGAUGGUAACUUAUGAAUAAGGAUCGGCUAACUACGUGCCAGCAGCCGCGGUCAUACGUAGGAUGCGAGCAUUAUCCGGAGUUACUGGGUGUAAAGAGUUGCGUAGGUGGCAUGAUAGACAGCUAGUGAAAUCUGGUGGCUCAACCAUUCAGACUAUUAGCUAAACUGUUAAGCUAGAGACCGGUAGGGGUAAGUGGAAUUCCUAGGGUAGGGGUGAAAUGCGUAGAUAUUAGAAGGAACACCAAUAGCGUAGGCAGGUUACUGGGACGGUACUGACGCUGAGGCACGAAAGCGUAGGGAGCAAACAGGAUUAGAUACCCUUGUAGUC